UACAGAGGUCCCAAGCGUUGUUCGGAUUUACUGGGCGUAAAGGGUGCGUAGGUGGCUAUGCAAGUUUGUUGUGAAAUCUCCAAGCCUAACUUGGAAACUGCAUCAAAAACUGCAUAACUAGAGGGUUGAAGAGGAGAUUGGAAUUCUCGGUGUAGCAGUGAAAUGCGUAGAUAUCGAGAGGAACACCGGUGGCGAAAGCGAGUCUCUGGGCAAAUCCUGACACUGAGGCACGAAAGCUAGGGGAGCAAACAGG
rnacentral:rRNA from 1 species